rnacentral:rRNA from 1 species
UACGUAGGGUGCAAGCGUUGUCCGGAAUCAUUGGGCGUAAAGGGCGCGUAGGUGGUUCUGUAUGUCUGCCGUGAAAGGGUACAGCUUAACUGUAGCUUGUCGGUAGAAACUGCAGGACUUGAGGCUGGGAGGGGCUGGUGGAAUUCCCUGUGUAGCGGUGAAAUGCGUAGAGAUGGGGGAGAACACUCGUGGCGAAGGCGGCCAGCUAGACCAGUUCUGACACUGAGGCGCGACAGCGUGGGGAGCAAACAGG